rnacentral:snoRNA from 1 species
UUCACGGAUGAUCAACUUUCAAUUAAUAACUUUCGUUCUACCGAUCUCAUCAAACGAUGUUGUGGACACCCUAUUUUACUGAGU